rnacentral:rRNA from 1 species
AUGCUCAAUUGCAAGCCUCUCUCCACUCCGGUCGACACGUUGGCCAAGCUCUCCGUCGACACCGGGCCGCUCUUCCACGACCCGUCUCUCUACCGCAGCUUGGCCGGUGCCCUCCAGUACAUCACGCUGACGCGCCCUGACCUCUCCUACGCCGUCCAGCAGUGUUGUAUGUUCAUGCAGGCACCCAGGGACUGCCACUUCCAGCUCGUGAAACGCGUGCUCCGGUACUUGCGUGGUACGGCGCAUCUUGGGCUUCGGAUUCAUCGCGACACCACCACUGAGCUCGUCGCCUACUCCGACGCCGAUUGGGCCGGCUGCCCCAACACAUGGAAGUCCACCUCGGGCUACUGUGUGUACCUCGGCUCCAACCUCCUUACAUGGUCAUCGAAGCGGCAAAACACCGUCUCGCGGUCCAGUGCCGAGGCCGAGUACCGGGCCGUCGCCAAUGCCGUCGCCGAGUCGGUGUGGUUGCGCCAACUC